rnacentral:rRNA from 1 species
CGCGUGGAUAUCUGCCUAUUAGUGGGGGACAACUACGGGAAACCGUAGCUAAUACCGCAUAAUCUCUACGGAGGAAAGCAGGGGACCUUUCGGGGCCUUGCGCUGAUAGAUGAGUCCGCGUCUGAUUAGCUAGUUGGUGGGGUAAAGGCCUACCAAGGCGAUGAUCAGUAACUGGUUUGAGAGGAUGAUCAGUCACACUGGAACUGAGACACGGUCCAGACUCCUACGGGAGGCAGCAGUGGGGAAUAUUGCACAAUGGGGGAAACCCUGAUGCAGCGACGCCGCGUGCGGGAAGAAGGCCUUAGGGUUGUAAACCGCUUUCAAUUGGGAAGAAGAGAUGAGUACUAAUAUUACUCUGAUUUGACGGU